GGUUCAACGCAUAACUUGCAUAAGUUGUUUUGUCCUAAGUAUUCGUUUCCCACUGAAGCACCUAUAAUUAGAAAAAAAGUUAGUGUGCUCCAUUCUAAUGGUGUAUGAACAAAGGAAACUAAAUCUAUUUCGCACGUUUUCUGCCUUCAUUUGACCCCAGGGGACCGUAGCUACCCGCUGAGAAUGUGGCUGUUCACCCCUCUCACCAACCCCGGCACCAACCAAGAGAGGAGGUACAAUGACCUCCAGUCCCAAACUCGGCUAGUGGUGGAGAGGGCAAUCGGCCAGCUGAAGGGACACUGGCGCUGCUUGGACAGGUGGCGGGGAGUGCUGCUCUACAACCGGAGAAGGUGUGCCGCAUUGUAAAGCCCUGUGGUGUUCUACGCAACAAGGCACACCAACACAAGGCACACGCCAACCCGUUCUCAUUCCGUUCUCAUUCAAGACGUAAUAUACCGACGAUUUACGACAUCUGAUACUGAUGCAAAAGGUACCCUUCCAAGUCUGUAUGAGAUGCUCUGGGUUCUCCGUUGACUUCAGUGUAAACCCACUUGCGGCGGUAAGAGACGCUUAGAGCAGAGGCUGCAGUACGGUGGCCGACACGGGCCAAACGGACGGCAGCGACCAAAUACGUCUCAAUUCGAGAAAACAGCUUCAAGUACAGAAACGAUGCAAAAUCACAAAUUUAAACACAAGUCUAAACUAAGUACAAAAAGAGGAACGUGGUGCAAACGAAAAAACGUGCUGCAAAAAACAAAGACAGAUGCGUCAUCAUUAAACGUGCUGCAAACAGAGAAACGAUGCAAACCCAGAAACGGUCUGCAAAAGAAAAACGCUGCAUUAGCGGUCACUACAAACGGAAGUUCUCCAAACCUGAAGGGGGCACUCCUAGCGUAACAGCUCAAUGGAGAGACACACGGGGUGGAGAGAUAGACAGAACAGCUGGCUGAACCGUUGUGCAUGAAAAUACGGCGUGAACGUUUGAAAAAUGAGUGAUUCAGAGGAUCUUGAGUUGGAGGAAGAGCUUCAGGGUGCCAACGAACUUCUUCAGGAUAUGGAGUGCUUCCUCAGGAGCUCCUUCAGUUGUUGGAGGAAGGAGAAGAGGAUGCAGCAGUGACUUGUGAGACAUCGCCUGAGUUGCCUGCUACUGACUGAGAGAUCAGAAACACGGAGUCCUGCUAAAGUGGAAAGAGGCCAGGCCUUCUCUUAUUGACAAUAUGUUGGCUACACACAGGAGUCACACUAUUUUGAUAGUGUGACUAAUCCUUGGAAUGAGCUACUUAGGUACAUAUCACUACAUCAAAUGCGUUCCAAAACAUACAUUUGAUUAAUAACAAUAAGUGAGUCUUGAUUGUAGUAUUUCCAGGCAUUACUGUACCAACUAUAGGAAGUCGUUUGCCAUAGCAUUUACAUCAGGUAUGUAUAAAAAUGGCCGUAACAAGAACCACAACGUAGCAUCCAUCAGGGAUGAAGCCAUUGUCAUGGUUUGUGCAGAUUUCUAUAUGACAUUAAACUGUUAAACUGGAAAUAUUUGAAGGUUCUGUGGUACACAUGAAAAAUCAAAGUGAUCCUCAUAUAUCUCUGUGUGCAUAACGAAUAUGCCAACCUCACUACAAUAGUGUGAAGUUAAUUCAACAAAUGGAUUGCAUUCAUACUACUAUAACAUAAAAUGUAUACUGUAACUAUAUUUUAUAACCAACUAUAAAUGCAUGGGCAGCAUGCGCGGGCAUAGAAUCACAAAGUUUUGUCUAUAUUGUAACUAUAUUUUAUAUAGUCAUAGAAACACAAAGUUUUGUCUAUAUUUUGGAUAUAUUCAGAAACUGUCAUUUUUGAUGCUCUAGUUUCUAGUUAUCUACCAUUGUUUGUAUGGCUGCAUAUUUUGGUUGUG